rnacentral:rRNA from 1 species
AUUGAACGCUGGCGGCAUGCCUUACACAUGCAAGUCGAACGGCAGCACGGGAGCAAUCCUGGUGGCGAGUGGCGAACGGGUGAGUAAUAUAUCGGAACGUGCCCAGUAGUGGGGGAUAACUGCUCGAAAGAGCAGCUAAUACCGCAUGCGACCUGAGGGUGAAAGGGGGGGAUCGCAAGACCUCUCGCUAUUGGAGCGGCCGAUAUCAGAUUAGCUAGUUGGUGGGGUAAAGGCCUACCAAGGCAACGAUCUGUAGUUGGUCUGAGAGGACGACCAGCCACACUGGGACUGAGACACGGCCCAGACUCCUACGGGAGGCAGCAGUGGGGAAUAUUGGACAAUGGGCGAAAGCCUGAUCCAGCAAUGCCGCGUGAGUGAUGAAGGCCCGUA